UGUCCAGCAACUCCUAUCCCUACCUCCUCGUGGUACUGGCCGGGGUACGAGUAACCUUAGGGAAGAUCGGGUAACCAACCCCCGGUGGGAACUUUGGUCGUAUGCUGACAGGGAAGG
rnacentral:ribozyme from 1 species